rnacentral:rRNA from 1 species
GACGAACGCUGGCGGCGUGCUUAACACAUGCAAGUCGAACGGAAAGGCCCUUCGGGGUACUCGAGUGGCGAACGGGUGAGUAACACGUGGGUGAUCUGCCCUGCACUUUGGGAUAAGCCUGGGAAACUGGGUCUAAUACCGAAUAGGACCACGCGCUUCAUGGUGUGUGGUGGAAAGCUUUUGCGGUGUGGGAUGGGCCCGCGGCCUAUCAGCUUGUUGGUGGGGUAAUGGCCUACCAAGGCGACGACGGGUAGCCGGCCUGAGAGGGUGACCGGCCACACUGGGACUGAGAUACGGCCCAGACUCCUACGGGAGGCAGCAGUGGGGAAUAUUGCACAAUGGGCGCAAGCCUGAUGCAGCGACGCCGCGUGAGGGACGACGGCCUUCGGGUUGUAAACCUCUUUCACCAGGGACGAAGCGUAAGUGACGGUACCUGGAGAAGAAGCACCGGCCAACUACGUG